CAUUUUUUCAUUAGUUUUUCAUGUAAAAUUGUGACAACCAGCAUGAAAUAACUGUCAUCACAGAAGCAUGGUAUAUUCGAUUCCAAAACAUAUUCUUUGUAAGUUUUAAUAUAUUUAUGUAUUAUUUAUACUUAGAUUGUAACCCAUAAUGUACAGAUAUUAUUUUUCCUUCAACUCUUAAGAAUAUUCUUAAAUAAUAAAAUUAAAAUUAAUGAAUUAUAAUUUUUGUUGCUUGGGAAAAAGAAUAGACACACACGUGACAGUGCAUCACUUCACCCCAUCAUUUCAUCUCAUCAUUUCAUCUCAUCAUUUUAUCUCAUUUCAUCUCAUCCCAUCUCAUCUCAUCAUUUCAUAUCAUCUCAUCAUUUCAUCUCAUCAUUUCACCAAAUCUCAUCUCAUCGCAUUUCCAUUUCAUUUUCAUUAUUUCAUUUCAUCAUUUCAUUUCACUAUUUCAUUUCAUUUCAUCUAAUUUCAUUUAUUUCAUUGUCAUUUCAUAUAAUCUCAUUUCAUUUCAUCUCAUAUUUUUGAUAUCAUUUUUCAUAUCAUUUUUCAUCUCAUUUCAUCUCAAUUCAUCUCAUCAUUUCAUCUCCUCAUCUCAUCAUUUCCUCCUUUCAUUACAACAUUUCAUCUCACUUCUUCUCAUCUCAUUUCAAUUUCAUUAUUUCAUAUCAUUUCAUUAUUUCACCUAAUUUCAUUAUUUCAUCUCAUCUCAUCUCAGUUCAUCUGAUCUCAUUUCAUCUCAGCAUUUCAUCUCAUCAUUUUUCAUCUCAUCAUUUUUCAUCUCAUCAUUUAAUCUCAUUUCAUUUCAUUUGAUCUCAUCAUUUCAGCUCAUUUCAUGUCACAUCUAUUCAUUUCACCAUUUCAUCUCAUCAUUUCAUCUCAUCUUUCAAUUUCAUUUCAAUAUCAUUUCAUCAUUUCAUUUCAUCUCAU
rnacentral:lncRNA from 1 species